rfam:Vitis vinifera, whole genome shotgun sequence of line PN40024, unoriented chromosome 17, chr17
GGGUGCGAUCAUACCAGCACUAAUGCACCGGAUCCCAUCAGAACUCCGCAGCUAAGCGUGCUUGGGCGAGAGUAGUACUGGGAUGGGUGACCUCUUGGGAAGUCCUCGUGUUACACCCC